rnacentral:rRNA from 1 species
UUAGUUAAUGAUGGAGAGUUUGAUCCUGGCUCAGGACGAACGCUGGCGGCGUGGAUUAGGCAUGCAAGUCGAACGGUAGAUACUCCUUCGGGGGU